UACGUAUGGAGCAAGCGUUAUCCGGAUUUACUGGGUGUAAAGGGAGUGUAGGUGGCCAGGCAAGUCGGAAGUGAAAGCCCGGGGCUCAACCCCGGGACUGCUUUUGAAACUGCAGGGCUAGAGUGCAGGAGGGGCAAGUGGAAUUCCUAGUGUAGCGGUGAAAUGCGUAGAUAUUAGGAGGAACACCAGUGGCGAAGGCGGCUUGCUGGACUGUAACUGACACUGAGGCUCGAAAGCGUGGGGAGCAAACAGG
rnacentral:rRNA from 1 species